GUGCCUUCAGUAAAUGUCAUUUUGAAAUAUCAUAAUACUACAAAAGCAGUGGAUCGACAUGUUACACCCGAGAUGUUUCAAAGAAUUGUUACAAAGACAGGCAUUUUCAUUCCUAUUGGAACAUCAAUUUGUAGACUGUGUAGAGAAAAACUAUUUGGAAAUAACAGUAUUGAGCAUGUUGAGGAGGAGAACACUAUUGAGACAAAUACAAAGAACAAGAUUGCAGAAGCUGAAAUACUACCACCUUAAAGAAAGAGGG